GAACUGUAAAUACCAGGUGGUGUGGGCAAGAGAUGUCAGGAGAAGGCACAUACAGCAGAAAUAAUUGUUCUCGGUUGGGAUAAACCAGGAGGGCUUCCCAGGGGAGGUGACAUGUGAGGGAGAUCAGAAUGGAGGCGUCCCAGGACAAGACUUUUCUAACUAACUUAGCUAGAGUGGGGACCACAGGGGAUCCGGAGUAUGUCAUUGUCUCACUUGGCUGAUUUUUCUCAUCUCAGUAGAUGCAGAGGACAGUUGCAGAGCCAUGACACCCUGUUGACUUGGGAGAUGAAGGUGACCUUGCAGCCCCAGCAACCAGAUACCGAACUCCCAGGCUCCCAAAGGGACAUUGUCCAUAGGAGCUUAAAAAGUGAAGUCAUCAGUUUCCUAGCUUCAAAAUUCAAAAGCCUCAUUCCAGGCACAGAUGGGCUGGAAGAAGUUACACUCAGAGCCCAGUCUGCAAUUUCAAACCUCUGGCGGAAGAAUUGCACUUGACCAUGUGAUGACAACAAUUGAGCCACCCAGCUUAGAGCCAGAGAUGGGAGCCUCACAUCGAGGAUGGCAGAGACAUCUCACCAGCUUGGGCACUCCAGGGAGAGAUGCAGAGCUCCCUCCUGCUCUGGACUGCGAUGUGUGAGAGAAAUAAAGCUCCCUCUUAUUUAAGGAAAUAUUGUGGGAACUCAAUGUCAUAAGAGCCUAU
rnacentral:lncRNA from 1 species